rnacentral:rRNA from 1 species
UGGGGAAUAUUGGACAAUGGGCGAAAGCCUGAUCCAGCCAUGCCGCGUGUGUGAAGAAGGUCUUCGGAUUGUAAAGCACUUUAAGUUGGGAGGAAGGGCAGUAAGCGAAUACCUUGCUGUUUUGACGUUACCGACAGAAUAAGCACCGGCUAACUCUGUGCCAGCAGCCGCGGUAAUACAGAGGGUGCAAGCGUUAAUCGGAAUUACUGGGCGUAAAGCGCGCGUAGGUGGUUCGUUAAGUUGAAUGUGAAAGCCCCGGGCUCAACCUGGGAACUGCAUCCAAAACUGGCGAGCUAUAGUAGGGCAGAGGGUGGUGGAAUUUCCUGUGUAGCUGUGAAAUGCGUAGAUAUAGGAAGGAACACCAGUGGCGAAGGCGACCACCUGGGCUCAUACUGACACUGAGGUGCGAAAGCGUGGUGAGCAAACAGG